CGAAAGUCCGACGGAGCAACGCCGCGUGAGUGAAGAAGGUUUUCGGAUCGUAAAGCUCUGUCUUUGAGGACGAAUGUGCUUAAUGUGAAUAAUGUUAAGUAAUGACGGUACUCGAGGAGGAAGCCACGGCUAACUACGUGCCAGCAGCCGCGGUAAUACGUAGGUGGCAAGCGUUGUCCGGAAUUAUUGGGCGUAAAGCGCGCGCAGGCGGGAUAUUAAGUCUGUUUUAAAAGUUCGGGGCUCAACCCCGUGAUGGAAUGGAAACUAAUAUUCUUGAGUGCAGGAGAGGAAAGUGGAAUUCCCAGUGUAGCGGUGAAAUGCGUAGAUAUUGGGAGGAACACCAGUGGCGAAGGCGACUUUCUGGACUGUGUCUGACGCUGAGGCGCGAAAGCCAGGGGAGUGAACGGGAUUAGAUACCCCGGUAAUCCUGGCCGUAAACGAUGGGUACUAGGUGUAGGAGGUAUCGACCCCUUCUGUGCCGGAGUUAACGCAAUAAGUACCCCGCCUGGGGAGUA
rnacentral:rRNA from 1 species